UGGAGGGAUCGGUGGUGUAGCGGAGGUGUCGUAUGGAGGUGUCGGUGGUGUAGCGGAGGUGUCGUACGGAGGUGUCGUAUGGAGGGAUCGGUGGUGUAGCGGAGGUGUCGUAUGGAGGUGUCGUAUGGAGGUGUCGGUGGUGUAGCGGAGGUGUCGUAUGGAGGUGUCGGUGGUGUAGCGGAGGUGUCGUAUGGAGGUGUCGUAUGGAGGGAUCGGUGGUGUAGCGGAGGUGUCGUAUGGAGGGAUCGGUGGUGUAGCGGAGGUGUCGUAUGGAGGGAUCGGUGGUGUAGCGGAGGUGUCGUAUGGAGGUGUCGGUGGUGUAGCGGAGGUGUCGUAUGGAGGUGUCGUACGGAGGUGUCGGUGGUGUAGCGGAGGUGUCGUAUGGAGGUGUCGGUGGUGUAGCAGAGGUGUCGUAUGGAGGUGUCGUACAGAGGUGUCGGUGGUGUAGCGGAGGUGUCGUAUGGAGGUGUCGUACGGAGGUGUCGGUGGUGUAGAGGAGGUGUUGACAGUAAUUUUACCACAGACGACUGGGAGGAGAACAG